rnacentral:lncRNA from 1 species
CCCUAGAUUUCCAUUUGUUCAUCCUUCUUCUCCUUCAAACUCUAUAAUCCAUCAACCUCUGCAAUCGAAUCGAUUCAACCAUCAGCCAUUCUCUUCAAGGUGCGUUUUGGUUCCGAUAAUCGACGCAUCCACAUUAGAGAUUCUGCUUUUGUGCUCUACGAUUAUCUUCAAGGGUAUUUGGGACACCGGUGAUGGGCAAUGUGUGGUGAUGAUUCAAUAUCACUAAAUCUCUAUAGUGUCGUCUUAAUUUCAUAUUGGACAUUGCUAAUUUAAUCUCAUUUUCACGUCGGUAUCGCUAAUUUUAUCUUAAUUUUACAUUGGGUAUUAUUAAUUUGAUUUAAAUUUCACUUGGGUAUUGCUAAUUUGAUUAUUUAAUUGGGUUCACGGUUACAACUCUCUAUAAUUUUGAUUGGUGAUAUAGUGACUUCCUCAUGCCUUUAUUAGUACUCACCAAUCUUUGUUCAGGAACAACCUGUAUUCAGAAUUCAUCAUGUCUCCUUUUCUACUUGGCUAUCCAAAACCUACCGGAUGGAGUUUGAACUAAAAGUCAGGUUUGCGUUGAAGACUUGAAGACGACAUUGUUGCCUCAUUGGAUCAAGAAGAAUGAACAGGGUCUUUAAUCCCUUUAGCCAGUGGAUGCAAGAAAAGUAUUUUUGGUAUGUUCAGGUUAAAACUGGUAUGGGUAUGGGUCAUGGCGGGUCGAGACGGUUAUCGGUACUGGUCAAAGGUGGGUUGUUUUUAUAAAAGAUCAUUUUGGUUUGUGUAAGAAACGGGUUUGUUGAAUUGGAUAUGGUUAAAAGACUCAAAACAGGUUGUUUUUAAAAAAACAAAUUACUAAAAGUAAUAAUAACUAUAUCUAUAAUAUCGAAAUGAGCGAAAUGGGUCCAGUUGCAUGGCCGGU